rnacentral:rRNA from 1 species
AGUCAAUAGAUACCCUGGUAGUCCACGCCCUAAACGAUGUCUACUAGUUGUUGGUGGAGUAAAAUCCAUGAGUAAACGCAGCUAACGCGUGAAGUAGACCGCCUGGGGAGUACGGUCGCAAGAUUAAAACUCAAAGGAAUUGACGGGGGGCCCGCACAAGCGGUGGAUUAUGUGGAUUAAUUUGAUGCAACGCGAAAACUUUACCUGGCCUUGACAUGCCACUAACGAAGCAGAGAUGCAUUAGGUGCCCGUAAGGGAAAGUGGACACAGGUGCUGCAUGGCUGUCGUCAGCCCGUGUCGUGAGAUGUUGGGUUAAGUCCCGUCAACGAGCGCAACCCUUGCCAUUAAUUGCCAUCAUUUAGUUGGGCACUUUAAUGGGACUGCCGGUGACAAACCGGAGGAAGGUGGGGAUGACGUCAAGUCCUCAUGGCCCUUAUGGCCAGGGCUUCACACGUAAUACAAUGGUCGGUACAGAGAGUUGCCAACCCGCGAGGGGGUAGCUAAUCUCAGAAAGCCGGAUCGUAGUCC